rnacentral:rRNA from 1 species
UGGGGAAUAUUGCACAAUGGGCGCAAGCCUGAUGCAGCCAUGCCGCGUGUGUGAAGAAGGCCUUCGGGUUGUAAAGCACUUUCAGCGAGGAGGAAGGCGUUAAGGUUAAUAACCUUAGCGAUUGACGUUACUCGCAGAAGAAGCACCGGCUAACUCCGUGCCAGCAGCCGCGGUAAUACGGAGGGUGCAAGCGUUAAUCGGAAUUACUGGGCGUAAAAGCGCACGCAGGCGGUUUGUUAAGUCAGAUGUGAAAUCCUCGAGCUUAACUUGGGAACUGCAUUUGAAACUGGCAAGCUAGAGUCUUGUAGAGGGGGGUAGAAUUCCAGGUGUAGCGGUGAAAUGCGUAGAGAUCUGGAGGAAUACCGGUGGCGAAG